ensembl:snoRNA SNORD115 Small nucleolar RNA SNORD115
GGGUCAAUGAUGACACCUCAACUUGUCCUGAAGAGAGAAGAUGACAUAAAAAUCAUGCUCGAUAGGACUACCCUGAGGCCC